AGGGAUAUAGCUUAGUGGUAAAGCAUACCUGGGUUCAAUCCCCAGUACUACCA
rnacentral:tRNA from 1 species